GAUGAACGCUAGCGGCAGGCUUAACACAUGCAAGUCGAACGGUAACAGGAAUUGCUUGCAAUUCGCUGACGAGUGGCGCACGGGUGCGUAACGCGUAUACAACUUGCCUUUUACAAAGGGAUAGCCCAUGGAAACGUGGAUUAAUACCUUAUAAUAUCAUUUAUUGGCAUCAAUGAAUGAUCAAAGAUUUAUCGGUAAAAGAGAGGUAUGCGUGACAUUAGCUAGUUGGUGAGGUAACGGCCCACCAAGGCUACGAUGUCUAGGGGUUCUGAGAGGAUGAUCCCCCACACUGGUACUGAGACACGGACCAG
rnacentral:rRNA from 1 species